rnacentral:rRNA from 1 species
AGAGUUUGAUCCUGGCUCAGGACGAACGCUGGCGGCGUGCUUGAUACAUGCAAGUCAAGGAGAACAUUGUCUUCGGAUAAUAAGUAAACUGGCGAACGGGUGAGUAACGCGUAAACAACUUGCCUCAGAGAUUGGGACAACAUUGGGAAACCAGUGCUAAUACCAAAUAAUGCAGCGGGCUCUUCGGAGCACAGUUGUUAAAGUAGGCUUCGGCUUACACUUUGAGAUAGGUUUGCGUCCGAUUAGUUAGUUGGUAGGGUAAUUGCCUACCAAGACUAAGAUCGGUAGCUGGUCUGAGAGGAUGAUCAGCCACACUGGAAUUGAGAUACGGUCCAGACUCCUACGGGAGGCAGCAGUAAGGAAUUUUGCACAAUGGGCGAAAGCCUGAUGCAGCAACGCCGCGUGAACGAUGAAGUUUUUAGGAAUGUAAAGUUCUGUCGUAUGGGAAGAGAUCUUUCGAAUGUUAAUACCAUUCGUUAAUGACGGUACCAUACAAGAAAGCACCGGCUAACUUCGUGCCAGCAGCCGCGGUAAUACGAGGGGUGCUAGCGUUGUCCGGAUUUACUGGGCGUAAAGGGUACGUAGGCGUUUUAAUAAGUUGUAUGUUAAAUAUCUUAGCUUAACUAAGAAAGUGCAUCCAAAACUGUUAAAAUAGAGUUUGAGAGAGGAACGCAGAAUUCAUGGUGGAGCGGUGACAUGCGUAGAUAUCAUGAGGAAAGUCAAAUGCGAAGGCAGCCUUCUGGCUCAAAACUGACGCUGAGGUACGAAAGCGUGGGGAGCGAACAGGAUUAGAUACCCUGGUAGUCCACGCCGUAAACGAUGAGUAUUUGGUGCUGGGGGAUUCGACCCUUUCAGUGCCGUAGCUAACGCGAUAAAUACUCCGCCUGGGGACUACGAUCGCAAGAUUGAAACUCAAAGGAAUUGACGGGGACCCGCACAAGCGGUGGAACAUGUGGUUUAAUUCGAUGAUACGCGAAGAACCUUACCUGGGUUUGACAUGUUAGUGAAAGUUUUCUGAAAAGAAAUCCCUUUAGAAGCUUGCUUUUAAACACUAUCACAGGUG